GUUAGACCUUUCUAAUGAAUCUCUUCGUUUGGGCGAUCGCUUUUGUUGGUGUCUUAAACCACCAGCUUUUAGAACUGAUGCUGAUUUCUCACAGCAGCCACAACUCUCCUCGAGGUAGCCAUGCAUGAAUAGUCCUGCGCCAUCACAAACAAAAAGGCAACUACUGUUUAGUGUUAGAAGAUGGGACGCCUUUGCACAGCUCUGCAACAGCUGUUGCGACUGACCCUCCAAGUGGAUCCAUAUCACUUGAUCAUGGUGCCAUCUCCGUCGCAAAUGAUCCAGUAACCAAACGCCAUCGUCCUUUUAAACACGUUAGUGAUGGGGAGUUCCCAACCAGCAUGAUCACGCAAUUUUUUUGUUUAUGAAACGACUCUUCAGUCUGUUCUCCUGUUAAUCUUGCAUGCCCCUAUGAACUACUCCAGCAACAUUUUACUCCAUUGGAAAGCAAUGCUACUCUUUGACAUUGCUAUGGCAUCGUUUUGUUGUUAAUUAGUUAAUCCAUUUCUUUCAUGAUGUUUUGGGAUCUUGGAUUGGUAAAUCAUUCCAUGUGUUGUUUUGAAUUUAAAAUAUGAUUAACGAAA